AUACAGAAGCCUCAAGCGUUACCCGGAUUCACUGGGCGUAAAGGGUUCGUAGGCGGUUAUAUUAGUCAGACGUUAAAUCCUGAGGCUCAACCUCAGGCUCGCGUUUGAAACGGUAUAACUAGAAGAAGUGAGAGGUAAACAGAACUCAUGGUGUAGGGGUGAAAUCCGUUGAUAUCAUGGGGAAUACCAAAUGCGAAGGCAGUUUACUGGCACUUUCUUGACGCUGAGGAACGAAAGCUAGGGUAGCGAACGGGAUUAGAAACCCCGGUAGUCC
rnacentral:rRNA from 1 species